rnacentral:rRNA from 1 species
GAUGAACGCUGGCGGCGUGCCUAAUACACGCAAGUCGAACGAACGGACGAGAAGCUUGCUUCUCUGAUGUUAGCGGCGGACGGGUGAGUAACACGUGGAUAACCUACCUAUAAGACUGGGAUAACUUCGGGAAACCGGAGCUAAUACCGGAUAAUAUUUUGAACCGCAUGGUUCAAAAGUGAAAGACGGUCUUGCUGUCACUUAUAGAUGGAUCCGCGCUGCAUUAGCUAGUUGGUAAGGUAACGGCUUACCAAGGCAACGAUGCAUAGCCGACCUGAGAGGGUGAUCGGCCACCCUGGAACUGAGACACGGUCCAGACUCCUACGGGAGGCAGCAGUAGGGAAUCUUCCGCAAUGGGCGAAAGCCUGACGGAGCAACGCCGCGUGAGUGAUGAAGGUCUUCGGAUCGUAAAACUCUGUUAUUAGGGAAGAACAUAUGUGUAAGUAACUGUGCACAUCUUGACGGUACCUAAUCAGAAAGCCACGGCUAACUACGUG